rnacentral:rRNA from 1 species
UGGGGAAUCUUGCACAAUGGGGGCAACCCUGAUGCAGCGACGCCGCGUGAGCGAUGAAGCCCUUCGGGGCGUAAAGCUCUUUCGACCGGAACGAUAAUGACGGUACCGGGAGAAGAAGCUGCGGCUAACUACGUGCCAGCAGCCGCGGUAAUACGUAGGCAGCAAGCGUUGUUCGGAGUUACUGGGCGUAAAGAGUGCGUAGGCGGUUUUCUAAGUCAGAGGUGAAAGCCUGGAGCUCAACUCCAGAACUGCCUUUGAUACUGGAAGUCUUGAGUUCGGGAGAGGUCAGUGGAACUGCCAGUGUAGAGGUGAAAUUCGUAGAUAUUCGCAAGAACACCAGUGGCGAAGGCGGCUCACUGGCCCGAUACUGACGCUGAGGCACGAAAGCGUGGGGAGCAAACA